UGCAUGAAUGACAUGCCCUCUGUAAACAAAAAAAGGGAAGGAUUUCAAAGAGCUCACACAAGUCAAAUCCACUCUCUUCAACCUCUGCAAUAAGGUUGAAGCAACAUCCAGAAGCAAUAUCACCUCCAGAGAGGUCGAUGUCCUUAUAAACAAUGUCCUUGAUCUUAUGCUACAGUCACUAUUGACCUUUGGACCUCUAGAGAAACCCUGUUGACAGGAGCUGGCACCCAAGUACAAGGAAAAAAAGACAUUCAAAUACACAAUGUGAUCAAUGACAGACUCAGAGCUCUCAGACAAUCACUGAAGUAGGCUCAGCCUUUGUUUUCAA
rnacentral:lncRNA from 1 species